rnacentral:miRNA from 20 species
GUGCCUACUGAGCUGAAACACA